GUGGGGAAUCUUCCGCAAUGGACGAAAGUCUGACGGAGCGACGCCGCGUGAGUGAAGAAGGCCUUCGGGUCGUAAAGCUCUGUCAUCAGGGACGAAUGGCCGGUGGAGUGGAAAGCCACCGGAUUGACGGUACCUGAGAAGGAAGCCACGGCUAACUACGUGCCAGCAGCCGCGGUAAUACGUAGGUGGCAAGCGUUGUCCGGAAUUAUUGGGCGUAAAGCGCGCGCAGGUGGGAUCUUAAGUCCAUUUUGAAAGUUCGGAGCUCAACUCCGUGAUGGGAUGGAAACUGGGAUUCUUGAGUACCGGAGAGGAAAGCGGAAUUCCCCGUGUAGCGGUGAAAUGCGUAGAUAUGGGGAGGAACACCAGUGGCGAAGGCGGCUUUCUGGACGGUGUCUGACACUGAGGCGCGAAAGCCAGGGGAGCGAACGGGAUUAGAAACCCGAGUAGUCC
rnacentral:rRNA from 1 species